GGAAUGUAAUCUGUAAUGUCUUCUUUCUGUGCCUCCUAGAUCAAGUCAGAUGGCACCGUAUUCUUGAUUUAAAACAAUGCAUCUUUUAUUGAACAAUGCUGUUAAUCAAACAGAAAACCAUCUAUAUACAAGUUACACAAUUUUUUUUUUUGCCACUACUGGAAUUCAGAAUAAUUCCAAAUGACUCCAUCCAUUCCAGGAUGGAGCUGGAGCCAAACAAAACUUCAACAGCAGUUUCUUCAAGGCUCAAAUGGUCACAACUUCAAUGUAUUUUCUCAUUGUGAACAAGCUGCUCAGUGGUCACAGCACCAUAUGUAGCAUGGCAGUUGUCUGUUCCAAUUAUGAAAACACUAGCACUUCCAUUAGGCUCUGAAAUGGAAUAGCCCAAUGCCCUGAAACACCUGGGUCUCUUUUUCUAGAAAGAACAAAAUAUACAAGAGUCAACAUAAAUCCAAGUGGGGCUGCAUGCAUGGACCAGAACUUUGAAAACACUGAUGUAUCACAGAAGGUCAGUAGGUACAAUCUUAUGGCAAGAGUAGCAAAUACAAGCCACCAUUAGUUCAAUUCUGGGCGUUCUGGGGGCCCUGCUUCACUUGUUCUUCACAUUUGAGGUUGAUGAUGAUUUAACUAAAGUUACCUGUAAAAUAUACUAGAAUCCAGUUAAAGUCCACAGCUUGGACCCUAAAGCCAGUGCUUUAAUAAAGUCAAAUUUUAAAAGAGUACAAAAUAAUCAGAACAACCACUUCUUGUGAGGUGCUUACCUGACUGCCACAACUUGACUGUACUAAGCAAUAUCACUUAAUAUCCAUAACAAGUCAAAAAGGUAGCUCUUGAGCUCAUGACGGAUGUGGCUACCAAGGCUUAGAAAGGUCAAUCAAUUAGUAAGCAGCAAAAUCCUGAUUCAAACUCAGGUUUAGUCCAAAGUCCAAGAUCAUAAACAAGCUUUGUUAAAUAGACUUUGCAGAAAAGACUGUGGGCUUUCUAACAAAGUGAGUAUAGGGACAUAUACUUACUUUCUGAUGCUUGCAACCUAGAGAAGUAAGGCUUAGAGUCGACUGCCUUUGGGGUAGAUUCUCUUACCACCUAAAAGGCUGAUCCUGGUAUUAAUACUUUUUACCAGAUUCUUCCAAGUUGUUUGCACAGAUAUACCUAGACACACACUCAAAUCUCUAAGCAUUCAGGCACAGAGCAGAAUUCAUGCAAUUAUGUAUUAUAACCUUCAGCCAAAGUAAGUUGUCUAGAUUUAUCAGCUUAAUCUAAAAUAUUAGAAACUUCAACUUUAAUAUGUCCUUCUAUAGCACAUUAUAAACAUAACACAUAUAUGUAUGAUAAAUGCCUUUAAAUAUCCUAUAAUCUUCAUUCUCUUACCUCCAGUAUCUCAUCUACUAGGCAGUUAACUACUCAAAGGCAAAAGGGAAAAUAAAAUUCACCUUUGUGUCCCAGCAUCUCAAGAGGCCUUGCUUGGUACACUCAAGCAAAACAUUGGUUAAAUAGAAAUAAGAUCACAUGGCAUUUGUUUUUUUAAAAAUAAGCAAUCUCCAACACAAGGCCUACUAACACAAUAUAAUAAUGGUUGUUCUUCUCACAUGGAAGUCCAAGUCUAUGGGUUAUCACUGAGGGCUGAGCAAAGGCUUACCACACAGCCUUCAAGCUGUAACAACACAGCCAUUUUACUAGGGGCAUUUAAAAAAACAAAGGUUCAGAGACAGUUGUCUGAAAGAGAGCCUUCAGAAAGCCUUCAGAGGACAACUGUUACUAGAAAAAAAAAAAAAAGAUUUGAUCACAAGCUUAUUUGGCCUUUACUAUUUCAAUAGUGAACAGUGGCUUUAUUCAUCCAGUUCUCAUUUUAUCUGUAAUUUUUCUGAAGGAUAUGUAGUUACUGUUGGUUCUGGGUAUAUAACAAAAUGAACACAGACUGAAAAGAUGAUGAGCUUGCCAUCACAAGGCUGUCAAUUUACUUUGAAACAUUUAUAUUUAUUCUACAUAUAGCUUAUAUUUACAUAAUAUUUUUGCAUUGGGAGUCAAAACAGAAUGUUAGGAGCACGGCUUUUGAGUCGAGAAAUUUGAUUUUCAGCUUUAUUACCUACUAGAAAUAUGUGUUCUCAGGUAAGAUUUUUAACUUCCCUAAUCCUGAGUUUCUCAUAUAUGAGACAGGGAUAUACCUACCUUUCAGGUUUCCUGAGCUACCAUUCAUGUUUACUGAAACGAUUAAAGAAAUACACAAGUGACCUAUAUUGUAUUAUUACUGAACAUGCAUGAAAUCCACAUUUAAACCCACAUUAGGGCUACCUUAAAAUCCUCACAAUAAACAAAGCCACUAAUAUGUAUUUAAAGACUUAUUCUGAUAUCGAAUUGUGUAAACCUACUGGCAAGCAGGAAGAUACCAAAAUUCCCACCCAUCCUCCAGUCACUGCUAGAGGUCUGAGAGUUCUAAGUCAGAAUUGCCCACUUUUCUUUUGUGGCUUCUCUUUUAAUCAUGCUUAAAGGUUCUCAAACUUUAACACGCAUAAGAAUUGCUUUCUAGGAGCUCAUCAUCACUAGUCAUUAGAGAAAUGCAAAUCAAAACCACGAUGAGAUACCACCUCAUGCCAGUUAGAAUGGUGAUUAUUAAAGUCAGGAAACAACAGGUGCUGGUGAGGCUGUGGAGAAAUAGGAAUGCUUUUACACUGUUGGUGGGAGUGUAAAUUAGUUCCACCAUUGUGGAAGACAGUGUGGUGAUUCCUCCAGGAUCUAGAACCAGAAAUACCAUUUGACCCAGCAAUCCCAUUAUGGGUAUAUACCCAAAAGAUUAUAAAUUAUUCUACUAUAAAGACACAUGCACACGUAUGUCUACUGCAACACUAUUUACAAUAGCAAAGACUUGGAACCAACCCAAAUGCCCAUCAAUGAUAGACUGGAUAAAGAAAAUGUGGCACAUAUACACCAUGGAAUACUAUGCAGCCAUAAAAAAGGAUGAGUUCAUGGCCUUUGCAGGGACAUGGAUGAAGCUGAAAACCAUCAUUCUCAGCAAACUAACACAGGAACAGAAAACCAAAUGCCACAAGUUCUCACUCAUAAGUGGGGGUUGAACAAUGAGAACACAUGGACACCGGGAGGGGAACGUCACACAAUGGAACCUGCUGGGAUUGGUGGGAAAGGGGAGGGAGAGCAUUAGGACAAAUACCUAACGUAUGCAGGGCUUAAAACCUAGAUGACAGGUUGAUAGGUACAGCAAACCAUGGCAUGUAUACCUAUGUAACAAACCUGCACGUUCUGCACAUGUAUCUCAGAACUUAAAGUAAAAUUUAAAAGAAAUAAUAAUUGCUUUCUAGGGUUGUUUCACUACAGAAUUGAACAUGUACUUUCAUGGGCAACUUCAGGUAUUUUUGGGAUAAUUUUAACUAUACACAACUUUCACUUUAUUUUUAUCUUAAGAAUUGCACCUCUUUAUAAAAUUCUUUUUGAGAAAGAGUCUCACUCUGUUACCCAGGCUGGAGUGCAGUGGUGUGAUCUCAGCUCACUGCAGCCUCCGCCUCCCAGGUUCAAGCGAUUCUCCUGCCUCAGCCUCCCAAGUAGCUGGGACUACAGGUGUGUGCCACUAUGCCCAGCUAAUUUUUUGUAUCUUUAGUAGAUACGGGGUUUCACCAUGUUGGCCAGGCUGGUCUCGAACUCCUGACCUCGUGAUCUGCCCACCUCGGCCUCCCAAAGUGCUGGGAUUAUAGGCAUGAGCCAUGGCACCCAGUCUGAGCCACCGUGCCUGGCCAUGAAAAGAUUUUUUUAAAAGAGGAUCAGGUAAUAUCAUUCUAAAAAAUGACCAAGAAAGAAUUUUUAAAUUUCUCCAUUAUCAUUAGAAACAUCAGAGGAAAUCAAUCGUGGAACUUUUUUUGUUGUUAGAGAUAGGGUAUCUUACUUUGUCACCCAGGCCGUAGUACAGUGGCAUGAUUACAGCUCACUUCAGCCUCGAACUGCUGGGCUCAAGCAAUUCUCCCACCUCAGCCUCCCAAGUAGCUAGGACUACAGGGAGUGUGCCACUAAGCCAGUUUUUUUGUGUGUGGUUUCUUUUUUUAAUUUUCACAGGCACAGGAUCUUGCUGUUGCCCAGGCUGGUCUCAAACUCCAGGCCUCAAGCAGUUCUCCCACCUCAGCCUCCCAAAGCACUGGAAUUACAGAUGUGAGCCACCACACCCUGCCAGAACUUCUGAUAAUUACUGGUGAAAUAAUAAAAGUAUAGGCCAGGUGCAGUGGCUCACACCUGUAAUCCCAGCACUUUGGGAGGCUGGGGUGGGCGGAUCACCUGAGGUUGGGAGUUCAAGAGCAGCUUGGGCAACAUGAUGAAACCCCGUCUCUACUACAAAUACAAAAAUUAGCCGGGCACAGAGGCAUGCACCUGUAAUCCCAGCCACUCUGGAGGCUGAGGCAGGAGAAUCGCUUGAACCCAGGAGGUGGAGGUUGCAGUGAGCCAAGAUUGUGCCACUGCACUCCAGCGUGGGCAACAGAGUGAGACUCCAUCUAAAAAGAAGAAAAAGAAAAAAAAAACUAUAGGUGUUUAAUGUUAAAGACUUGUUUAAUUAAAUGAGAAAUGAGACCUGGUAAAUUCACAAAUGAUCUGGAGAUUUCUAAGCCAAACAAUGCUUUCCAAAAAGUGGACCCUGAGAACCAAACCAAACAUUCUGCUAUAAAAGGCCACUGGAGGGUGUAAACACUGGCAAGAGGAAGGGCUGCACAAGCCCAGGAGGCCACAGAGUUCUAAAUGGCUUCUCCAGGUUCGCAUCUGGAUGGCCAAAUUAGUUGGUGUAGAGUGACUUUAUGGUAAGGCCCUGGGAAUCCAAGUUUAUGGCAUCCUGGUCCCAAAACAUUUGGCUUCCUAGGUUCACCAGGCAGAAGUCCUUGGGAAUAAAGAACCCUGAUUAGUCAAGAUACUCCAUUGUCACCAAAGAGAAAAUUUCUUUGGAAGAACAACAAAGGUGACCAUAUCAGGGAAUGAAAGGGCCAGAACUGAACCUAACAAAGCUAUUCACCCAAUUCACUGCCUUUGCAUUUUAGGUUCUCUAGCUUUCACAAAUAAGACAUUUAGCAGUACUGAACUCACUGGGCAAAACUGAGUGUUGCCAUGGUGCAAAUCUGAUCAUGACAUAUCCAACUUCUCCUGCUAUUAGUUAUCAUAAUGCUUCCUUCUAUGCCAAUAAAAAAAAGAAUGUUAUUCCUUUUUUAUUCAAUUUAUUCAAUGAGGGCAGAUGAGACUAUUUUCAAUCUUUCUGCCACUGUAAAAUUGUCAUCUUCUUUACCUUCCCCACCAAAAUAAAACUAUUAUUAUCCUUUACUAUUCCCAUUUAAAUCCAUACCCUCUCUUGCCCUGUUCCCUAUUAUUAGAAAGUUUUAUCUAGUCAUAAAUCAACUACCUACAGUUCCUUAUAAGAUUGAUUUAUAUUUCUAAAUCAAAAUGAAACAAUAAUUGCUACUAUCCUCUCAGUUCCAGAAAACCACAUAUGCUGUCCUCAAACCCCAAACCACAAAUGCUAAAAAUUAUGAAUAAGAGGAAUGUCUAUUUGCUUACAUUAUAAUGAAUAAAGAAAUAACUAGAGUCUUGCAUUGAGAACAAUCAGCUCAUUCUUGACCUAGCAUCCUAUUUAUCUUUCUAUUCUCAAGGCUAAUUGCUUAUAUAAGCAUGCCAAUUUGCCUUGAUUAUAGGAUUCUUAAUAAAUGAAUGUUGUUUACAUUUCACAAGUAUAUUUGAAUUUCACUACAGGAAGCCAAGCUCAUCAAGUCUUUGUAAAUGGUAAAACCAGAGAUCAAAGCAAAAGGGCUGCAUUGAACCAACAAACAAUUAGGCUACAGAAUGGAGGCCUAAGCAAAAAUGCAAUUGAUUUAUUGAUUGUUCUACUCCAGAAGUAUACUUCUGGGUCAUUGCUUAAUCUUACACCAUAUGUAUAGAAUUUUCUCACAAAUUUUCAUUAUGAUAAUUUGGUGGUCAUUUCUUAAAUAGUUAAAUAAAGUCUCUCUACCAUUCAACAGGAUUUAUCCUUUUCUUCUGUAUUUUUUCAUCUUGUUGCUUUUAGUUGAAUCAAAUAUCUUUCAUUUUUUUAACUCUUCUCAACCUUCUCAAUUUUGCCUAAUCUAUCCAAAAUUUUGUUUAACUUCUUAAACAAUCCCUUUUCUAUUACACUCAUUAUCUUGUUUUCUGCUGGUUUUAACUCAUAGGCAAAUUGGCUUGGUCUUUGGGGUAGGAAGAAAAAGGGGGAAAACAUCUAGCACAGUGGCUGUCAACCUUGGCUGCACAUUCAAACCUUCUAGGGAGCUUUUAAAAAUCCUGAUGCCCAGGUCACAUUCCAGACAAAUUUAUCAGAAUUUCUGGGAGUGGAACCCAGGCAUUUGUGGGUUUCUGUUUUUGUUUUUGUUUUUGUUUUAGAGAUAGUCUUGCUCUGUUGCCCAGACUAGAGUGCAGUGGCAUGAUCAUAGCUCACUGCAACCUCAAACUUCUGGGCUCAAGCAAUCCUCCUGCCUCAGCCUCCCAGGUAAGCUGUGACUACAGGCAUGCACCACCACAUCUGCUAAUUUUCAUUAGUAGUAGAAAUGAGGUCUCCCUAUGUUGCUCCACACUGGUCUAGGACUCCUGGCCUCAAGUGAUCCUCCUGUCUUGGCCUCCCAAAGUGCUGGGAUUACAGGCGUGAGCCACUGUACCUGGCCCACUUGUACUUUCUGAGGAUCGCCAAGUGAUGUCAAUGCACAACCAAGUUUGAGAACCACUACUUUAACUUACCAAUACCCUUAUUCUAGCUUAAAUAAGGUGUUCUGCCAAACUUCCACGGAGAGAAAAAAAACAAGGAAGGGAAGUCAGGUUCCUGAGCAAACCCUCAACCAAGACAGGUCUUGAGACUAGUGAGAUGUGUUAUUUAAAAGCACCAUCAGUCACACGUUAGUGUCCCAGCACCAGGCACAUGGUCAAAAAUGUGAACUAUUUAAGCCGGGUGUGGUGGCUUAUGCCUGUAAUCCCAGCACUUUGAGAUGUCAAGACUGGUGGAUCACUUGAGGUCAGGAGUUCAAGACCAGCCUGGCCAAUGUGGUGAAACCUUGUCUCUACUAAAAGUACAAAAACUAGCUGGGUGUGGUGGUGCGUGCCUGUAAUCCCAGCUACUCAGGAGGCUGAGGCAGGAGGAUCGCUUGAACCCAGGAGGCAGAGGUUGCAGUGAGCUGAGAUCACGCCACUGUACGCCAGCCCAGAUGACAGAAGGAGAAUCCAUCUCAAAACAAAAAAAUAUGAACUAUUUGAUAUUUGACAUCAUUCCCAAAACCAAGCCAUGGGCAUCUUCUAUGCACAGAAGUCAGUCAAGUGAGAUUACUUCUGGGGAUAGCAGGGUCUAAACACCUCAAGGCUUUCAGCUUCUGUGGCAAUGGUUACAGGGGCUUACAAAUGCAUCAGAACUUCUGCAAAGAAAAAAGGAGACUAAGGUUACAUGUGAAAUGAGAGUCACCAAAGUCAAUUACAGGCUAAACAAGAACACUGAAGAUCAUGGAAUCACAGAAACUAUAUGAAGUUUGUCCUAGAAACUAUACAAGACUAGAAAUCAUAGAGAGUUUGUGAUAAUUGCCUACCAGUGAACACUGAUGGUCAUGUUUUUCUGUUUGUUUUUUCAGAGAGUGAAAAGAAUGUACAUUUUUAUCUGUCAACAUCAAAUACCAUCAUACCUGGUAAAUAGGGCUGAAUGUUGCCCAAUUUCAGAAUUCCAAGCCCGUCUGGUCCACAUCUCCGGGCCUUGGUUGAGAUCACAGUUCAAGAGGCAGCUCUCCAACCUAACAGCUCUUCCCUUAGACAUUGCUUCCAAAUUAUAUGCUAUCAGUUGGAAACUGCAUAGUCCUUGGCAUUUAUGUUGAAAGACAGGUUUCUGGAAAGGAGGAAGGGGUCACUGGGGAGGAGGGAGGAAGAUCACCCUGCAGUAUGAACAGAUGGAAUUCUAAAGGGAAGACAAGCAAUGAGCUAUCUCUGUCCCCAGUGUUCAAGUAGGUGAGAACUAAGAAGGUACAUGAAGGCUCUCUAAGGAACCAUGACUCCAAAGCCUAGGGACACACUUCUUAUUUGCAGGGAUGGCAGUGGCACUCCAUAAAGAGCCGCUCUACAAGAUGAGAUCUGCCAAGCAACUGUAUAGCUUGUAACUCACCUUCCCUCCUAAGUUCCUCUAGGCUGUUCCUUCUUUUAUAAGGAUUCAAUGCUUUGUUCCUAAAAGUACUCCAGUUACAGCGUCCUCUUGCAAAGGAGGGGCAAUCAUCUAUAAUCAGUGCUUCUUGUAUUAGCUACUUUUUUGACAUCUAUUACUUGCUUAAACCUGAGGGCUGGAGAGCCCACUUUACCUUGUCCCUAUUCCCCAAGCUCUAAAUAUGAAAAAGAAGAGCACUGUUCAUUAAGACCAAACCCUUUAAGCAACAGUUCUUAUAAAGUCAAAUGAAUUUCCAGAACAAACAUCAGCCCAUACGUAUCUUUUUCUUCUUUAAGCCCAGGAAGCACCUACCAGGAGAUCUUUCCCCACUCUCAGGUGUUAUAAUUCUAUGUCUAGAACCUGCAAGUUGCAGACUCACCUCAAAGAGGGCAACUUUCGAGCCAAUAAUGUACUUCCUAUCUUCUUGGGCUGCAAAGGGCCUUCCAAUCACCAGUGUUUGUCACACAGAUUAUCUGAAUAACUUUAACGGAGAACUCACCAUCCAUUUUCAACAACUCUACAUGUUAGAAUAUUUUUCCCUAUGCUCAUAUGACUUUCAGUCACUGACCCUGGGGAAUUCUACUCUUUAGACCACACAGAACACCCCUACACACAUUUCCACCUGAAAGCUCUUCAAAAGCCAAUGUCAACUAAUGAAUCACAAUGUAUUAUGUUCUGGAAAUUUUGUUUUCAAGUGGUAUGAUUUCCAUCAUCUCACGACUAUGUUAACAAUUGUGCCAAAUUUUAUUCCCAUUCACAAAGGAGGAAAACCAAGGGCCAGAGGAAAGAGUUUCACUUGUCCAAGUUGGUGCAGCAAAUAUGAUUCUAGAAACUAGGUCUCCUGCCUCCCAGGCCAAUGCUAAAUGACAGGCCACAAGCCAAAGUACUUCUUAUCACUUACGGAUUUAAGGCCACGCAUACCAUCUCUCCCCAAAUUUCAUCACUUUACACUGUUGCCAGUCUCUUCCUGGAGCCAAACAUUUGCAUUUGAUCAACUUCUAUCCUAGAUACCCCAAUAUAUUGUCACAGUUUUUACUGGUAUUAUUAGGAGGAAAAAAUGCAUCCUGAUAAUGAUAACAGCCCUAACCAUAUAUUCCCACUUUGGAGAAUAAAACAGCUCAGGGAGUUACUGCCUAGGGUGAAACUGUAAUGGUUCAAAGUGCCAACACUCCACCACCCCUCUUCCACACUCUCUUCCCCUCACAACAGGAGAAAGAAUGUGAGAAUACAAAUCAGCAGCAUCUGAUGGCCUCACUACACUCCCACCCGCCCAUCUGCUUAACAGACUUUAUGGCAAGUGCUUUCCUUGGAAGUGGCUGAAAGGGAGCAACACCUUGCAGUGGGAAGUAAACUUAAAUGUUAAAACUUGACCUUCCGGCCGGGCACAGUGGUUCACACCUGUAAUCCCAGCACUCUGGGAGGCUGAGGCAGGUGGAUCACGAGGUCAGGAGUUCAAGACCAGCCUGGCCAAGAUGCUGAAACCCCAUCUCUACUAAAAAUACAAAAAUCAGCCGGGCAUGGUGGCACACACCUGUAAUCCCAGCUACUCAGGAGGCUGAGGCAGGAGAAUCACUUGAACCCGGGUAGCAGAGGUUGCAGUGAGCCAAUAUUGCACCACUGCACUCCAGCCUGGGCGACAGAGCAAGACUCCAUCUCAAAAAGAAAAACAAACAAAAAAAACAACAACUUGACCUUCCUUUCCUUUUCACAGGUUUCGCAUUUGGAGUAUAUGCGUUGCACUGACAGGUUGCCUAUUCCUUCUGAUUUGGAGAACAAACUUUUCAGCCAAGGUAUUUCAAAUCUGCCUUGAAAAGAAAAACUGAAGAGCACCUUUUUGGACCAGAUCAAUUUUUAACUCCAUGCUUGAAAAUAGAAGAGCACAGUGAAGAUGCCAAAAGGCUUGACAUCUAAAGAGAAGAAACUUCAAAUGCACCUCACUUCAGUCACUUCUGAAGAAUUUCUGCCAACUUUAUCCAGUCUGAAAUUUGCACUAACCAGACAGGAAUUUUUUACUGCUAGUCGCAGGCCCUUUUUUUCUUCCCAGUUCUAAGCCUAUGGAAGCAUAAUAUAAAAGAAAGGCCAGGGGGAGUAGGGAACAGAUCCAAAUCUCUGCUGAAAGACUAGAUUGGUUAUUUAAUAACUGUAUAAUUUUAGGCAACUUAGAUAUCUUUUUCUUUUUUGAGACCUGGUCUUACUUUGUCACCCAGGCUGGAAUGCAAUGGUAUGAACACAGCUCACUUCAGCCUCGACCUCCAGGACUCAAAUGAUCCUCCCACCUCAGCCUCUUGUGUAGGUGGGACUACAGGUGCAAGCCACCACACCUGGCUAAUCUUUUUUUUUCUUUUUUCAUAGAGACAGGAUCUCACUAUGUUGCCCAGGCUGGUCUCGAAUUCCUGGGCUCAAGUGAUCCUCUCACCUCAGCCUCCCAAAGUGCUGGGAUUAUAGGGGUGAGCCACUGUGCCCAGCCUAAAUAAUCAUUACUUAUGCAUCUAUAGUAUUGCUGAUAGCAUUAGUUACUGUGAGCAUUAAAUGAGAACAUGUAAAAGGCCUACUCAUAGUAGAUACUCAGAAAAUGUUCCCACUCCUUCCUAAAACAAAAUGACCACAUUCAAUCUCAGGACAUGCAGAAAAAAAAUGAGAAGGAAAUGGACUCAAAUUAAUCAGAUACCAAAGCAGUUCCUGAUACCAAAUAUAAUACUGCCCUAAACCAUUACUUCCUAAUAAUUUUAAAUCUGUUUGCAGUGCUGCCUGACACCUGAUAUUGCACAAGAUACAGCAGCUAAGACACAGACUUAAAAUUGUCCUUUCCUCUGAAACUCAACAAAAGAAUUUUAAGGAUAGCUCUUCAACAAAGGCAUCCAAGGGUGUGCCUUUUAAGUUGUAAACAGUGACUGCAAGCCAAAAAUGAGUGAAUAAUAUUAUGCAGUGUCUAAUGUAGAAACAGGUAUUCUCGGACAAAAACCAUCAGUUGUUCACCACAUCCACCCAGAACCACCUUCUUAUCAUCAUCUUUAAAAAUAAAAGACAUGGGAGUAUUUGUGGAUGUGUGUAUGUAACCCAGGAUGUCCAAUCUUUUGGCUUCCCUGGGCCACACUUGGAAGAAGAAGAAUUGUCUUGGGCCACACAUAAAAUACACAAAAACUAACGAUAGCCGAUGAGCUUAAAAAAAAAUCAUGAAAUAAAUCUCAUAAUGUUUUAAGAAAGUUUAUGAAUUUGCGUUGGGCCCAUGAGGCCCACAGGCAGUGGUUGACAAGCUUGAUGUAACCCCCAAAAUUAGACAAUGGUUAAUAAAUACAAUGGAGGGCCACAUGGCUAUUACAGAUAUGAAGAACCCCCAAAAAACACAGGCUAAUAUUACCUAUGAAAUAUAUACAUCCUUACAUCCUAAAAGAACAAAGAUUGAAGUACGUGGCUGACUUUAUAAUUUAUGAAACACUUCCAUAUAAAUUAUACAUAGGUUAGAGUAUAACAGAAACAUUGCACAUACACACACACAAAGGCAUAUGCAUAUAUGUGUGUGUGUGUGUGUGUGUGUGUGUGUGUGUAUCUCACCUUCCAGCUGUACCUGAAAGGUCAAUACAGGGAAGCAAAUGGUUUAAAUGUAUACACUAAGACAGUAAUUUUUUCCCUUAAAUGUAAGUUUUAUAACUAUUACUAUAAUGAUACUGAAGAUACCUAUCCUUGGGAGGAUUAAACUCCUAACACUGGGAUCCAAUUUUUGCUAGUCACUAACUCCAUUUUUUUCUAUUAAAAAGAUUACUUUUCAAAGUUCACCCCUCUAGUCUUAAUUCAUUAGUCUUUUAUUCUCUCAUUUCCAUUCAUACCCACUAAUUUUUUAUAUUCGCACAAUUUAACCCAUAUAAACUGAUGGGGAGGGAGGGUAUAGUCAUUGAAUAGAUUUGUUCUCUCUUAAGGCUUUCCUAACAAGAAAUAAAAUGGACUUUUGUCAUUUUAAUUUUUGUUUACUUCUCUCUGAGGCCUUAAAUAUUCUAGAGCUGGAAGUUGGGAGGAACUGUUCUCCUAGCUUGAAACAGUCUGUUAAUUAUUGAUGUUAGCCAUACUUACAAUGAGGUGCUUAGACACUUUUCUAUACGGUAUUACUAUCUGGUUUUCCUCCCAAAACACCCGUAUGAUCUUUAUUAUACAAGAAAGUUGAACUGGUAUCAAUAAUGCCAACACAAUUUCCAUUGCCCUCCACAUACAUACUUAAAAAUCUGCCACUUAAAACUUGUCCUUCAAGAUUGAUGUCCACAAUUAAAUGGUUUGAACUGAUUUCUUAAGCAACUCAUGAAGAAAAGCAAAGUUGAGAUUAUCACACACACAACUCCAGAAAAAAAAAAAAAACAAGAGAAAUCACCAACACUGCGCACUUCUAUUGGCCCACGGAGAUGAUCUGGAAGGUUUCAACUCCUCUCACAGAUUGUCAAAGAGCAAGUGGAGCUGACCUGGGACAAGGAACGCAUCAAUGGUCCAAAUGCGUCCCUAGGAAGAGGGUUCCCAAGCUGACCUGGUCCCCCAAAAGCUUUGUCUCUACUCAAUAAAAGGUCAGCCUGGUAUUGUUUUUGUUUCUUGAUUGAGAGGCUUAGAAUAUUGUAAACAAUUUUAAAAGGAAUUGCACCCAGUAACUGCGACACACAGUAGUGUAAAAGUAGCCACAACAACCCUGCCCCAAGAAGCUUGGGAUGUACAAUCAUAAUUGUCUAAAUACUAUAUUUGCAACUGCUAGCCUUAACAAGAACACAAAUCCACCAUGUUAAUGAUGGGACAUUAUUUUUCUAAAGAUUAAUUCACACCAUGUGUUAUUAAUCAGCAGGGUAAAUGAAAGCUCAAGCAAAAAAAAAUGCUAUCCUAGUCAAGCAGAACUUAAUUGCAUUAUUGUUAUUAUUAUGGCUGCUGCACUGGUUUCCCUGUGUCACUGGCUCCUCCACCACAAGUAUUCAGACACACACACACACACACACACACACACACACAGAGCACCACAGCAUGGAUGGAAAAACAAAAAAGCCAGAGCCAGGAGGAAAAAAAGCCAGAGCCAGGAGGUAAGAACCAUAUGUCUAGUAGGAAGAGGGUUUUGAAGAAAAACGUUUGUCUCUGGAAAAGCAGGUCAAGUAUGCACCCAGGCCGCCUUGAGAGUUAUGCCUAGGCCGUUUCAUUUCAGUGUCCCAUCUUGCACAACGGUGGGAGCAGCUGUGGGAGAUCACAGGAGAUGCAAAGCAACACAAGCAACCUCAUCUGUCUCCCCGACGGCCACACCAGAGUUUCCAGGUGGCGGGAGAGAGAGCUCAGUUCUCCCAAAGAGCACACAGCUAACCUGCCAUCCAGAACAUCACUUCCCAUACCAAACCAUUCCUUUUUCAAGGCCUGAAGGCAGGCAAUUUGAACGUCCUGUAGCUGAGCACACCUCAGAAAACCGAUUUUUGAUCUAGAACUCGAGUCCUCUGCCAAAGUUCUAAGUUUUCAUGAAAACAAAAGAAGAAAAGAAAACCCGCAGGCAGGCACAAUCGUUGGCUGCCCGGAUCACGAGUUUCCCUUGCUGCCUAGUCUUGUGGAGUUUAGAGGUAACCAACUAGGAAAAGAGAAGUGUCCAAGUGUCAGGAGUAGGAAUGAGCCCAAUCUCGCCUGUGUGUGUCCCUCCCAACAUCCCUUAGAAGAGGCUGGGACACUAAAACUGGUAGUCUGGGGGACCAACAGCAGUCCAGAUCCUGGCUGGGGCAAGCCGCCACACCCUCUGCAGCUCACAGCACAAGCCUCGGCUGGGAGGGGCCCAGACACUGUCCCAGCAGGAAAGGGAGAAAGAGGGGAGUUUUCAGAGUCCUGGAUUUGAGGAGCUGGAAAGCUGGGAGAAGCGGAAUGCAGGAGGGAGCGGGGGACCUGGCUGGGCGUGCAAGAGGAGGGGAGGGGUCGCCCGUGCAGUCAGGACAGCUCGCAACACGUCCCCGCAAAACUCCACAUUUUUGUGGUUUAAGAUUUAAGUCUAGAGGGAACGCGCUGAGGUUCUCCCCGGCCUGGGUUUCAGAUGCCCCUGCUCCUCGCCAAGGGCCGGGGCGCCGCACUGCUGUGGGUCUCCGCUUUCCCUUUCGGGGAAGCUCCCCUUGGCCAAGCCGCGACGUGAGCCCUCCAAGUUCGCCUCCGCUCACCGCCCGGCGCGGCGCCCGCGGCCGGCCACAUGCGCCCCAUCUGCCGGGGACUUCGCAGGUCCCGGGCUGGCCGCCCGAGGGAUGGUCCGCAGGGGCUCAGGGUGUUUUGUUUUGUUUUGUUUUGUUUUGUUUUUUUUAAAAAAAAAGCCUAAGCGGCUCGCCACCUCCUCCUCCCAGCCCGCGCCACCUUCUCUUCACGCCCACGCCGCACCUCCCGGGCACACGCGCCGUGAGGUGCCUCUCCAGCCAGACAAUGGGUUCGAGGCUGGUUGGGCAGCCGGCCCUGAGCCCCCAUCCCCAUCCCGGGACCCCGAGAGACUGAGCGCGGGGGACUGCCAGGGGGGUGAAGAGGAGUGCUGGGGGGCCACAAAGGGGAAAGCGGGAGCCUCCCCCUCGGGAAUGGAGGCUCGCUCCCGGCACGGGGUGAAGGGGAGGGGCGGG
rnacentral:lncRNA from 1 species